rnacentral:misc_RNA from 1 species
ACAUCGCGUCGCCACAGCUGGACUCUCCUCCGCUCUCCCCAUCUGACCCCCCUCCUGCCUACCGCCCCCUCUCUCCUCGUCCGCCGUGCUGCGUCGUCCGGCCCCCACCCCCACCCCUGCCGUUGCCUCUCCCGUCUUCCUCGGCGCCGCCCUUCGCACUCUUUCGCUCUUGCGCGUUUUCGCCCAUGACGCCGAGUAUACCAGUCAUUGUCUACGUGGUCCUGCAGUUCGCGGCGUUUCUUCUGGUGCUGGCAGGAACGCCGCUGGACAUCUUCCGCGGUGUGGCUCCGGAGAUUUUGGGGCACAAAAUGGUUUGCGUCACCCUUUUUGGUUUGAAAGUGGACUGCUACAAUAAGACAUAUUUAGAAACAACGGAGGAGUUGUGGGCUGAUUGUUUUAACCGCCUGAACCGCUUCCACGCUGCACAGGCGUUCGCUAUCAUCUCCAUCCUUGUAUACUUUGCGGCAUUCACGUUUGGGUUGCUUCUGCUCUUCUGCUGCCCCUGCUUGCGUUGGGUCUGCCUGGCACUCAACGUUGCUGGCAUCCUCACCUUGUGCGUUGUGUGGGCGGCCAUGGUGGUGACGUACUAUACAGAUGAUAGCGCAGACUGCGUAAAGGCCAAAGACGAAUUCACCUUCGGUAUCGGCUUUGAUCUCCUAAUGGCUGCCUGGUGCCUGGAUAUCAUCAACAUGAUCGUCAUGCUCUGUUACGCAGUUAUUAACCACGCAGUAAAAGAAAACGAGGUGAAUCACACAAGGGUCGGUAAGUGAGGGCGAAAAAAAAACACGGACCAGAAGGCGAGUUUGACAGCGGCGCGGCCCCUCCCCCACACUGGCGUCCUCGUGGUGGAGCCGGUGUCGGCGAGGAUGUGGGUGCGCAAGCUGCGGGUUCCCGUGUGUGCCCUUCGCCGGCCCAGCCCUCUCGCUGCCCUGUCCUUCGUGCAUGCGUGUGCGGCACGCCGUGCACCGGGACAGCUGCCGAGGGGUGGUUGCGGCACUUCCUCCAGGAGUGCUGAUGGCACACGGCGCCUGUAUGCGUGUGUGUCUGUGUGCAGGCGCCCCCUGCGACCCUCCUCCCUCUUCUUCCGUGAGCGGCCCCCGCGACCGCGCCCCUCCCUCGCCUACGCUGCCGUUGCUCGCGCGUCUCUGUUUUCGUGCGUUAUUCGCGGGUGCCGCCGCACGCUCUCGCGCUCCUUGAUGCUCGUUUCUCUUUCGGGUUCUGCGAUGCUUGCUGUUCUCUCCUCCGCGCAG